GAUGAACGCUGGCGGCGUGCCUAACACAUGCAAGUCGAGCGAACAGACGAGGAGCUUUCCCCUCGGACGUUAGCCGCGGACGUGUGAGUAACACGUGGAUAACCUACUUAUAAGUCUGUGAUAACUACGGGAAACCGGAGCUAAUACCGGAUAAUAUAUUGAACCGCAUGGUGCAAUAGUGAAAGACGGUUUUGCGGUCACUGAUAGAUGGAUCAGUGCCGCAUUAGCUAGUUGGUAAGGUAACGGCUUACCAAGGCAACGAUGUGUAGCCGACCUGAGAGGGUGAUCGGCCACACUGGAACUGAGACACGGUCCAGACUCCUACGGGAGGCAGCAGUGGGGAAUCUUCGGCAAUGGGCGCAAGCCUGACCGAGCAACGCCGCGUGCGUGAUGAAGGUCUUCGGAUCGUAAACCGCUGUUGUUAGGGAAGAAAAGAUGUGGAAUUAAAUAUGCAGGUAUUGACGGUACCGUAUCAGAAAGCCCCGGCUAACUACGUG
rnacentral:rRNA from 1 species